GUUGGUAGCUAGCUCUCUGCAAGUCCCACAUGGUCGCCAACUGAAUCUAAGCAGGGCUGUGCCCAGUCAGUACCUGGAUGGGAGAGCACAUGGAAAAGUUAGGUUGCUGUCGGAA
rnacentral:rRNA from 1 species